rnacentral:rRNA from 1 species
CCAAGCGUUGUUCGGAUUUACUGGGCGUAAAGGGCGCGUAGGCGGCAAUUCAAGUCAUCUGUGAAAUCUCCGGGCUUAACUCGGAAUGGUCAGGUGAUACUGCUUUGCUAGAGUGCAGAAGGAGCAAUCGGAAUUCUUGGUGUAGCGGUGAAAUGCGUAGAUAUCAAGAGGAACACCUGAGGUGAAGACGGGUUGCUGGGCUGACACUGACGCUGAGGCGCGAAAGCUAGGGGAGCAAACGGG